CUAUUUUGACAGAUUUAAUGUGUUAAGUUUAGAAUUUAUUUAUGUAGAAAUUAUUUACAAGUAGA
rnacentral:tRNA from 1 species